rnacentral:rRNA from 1 species
AUUGAACGCUGGCGGCAGGCCUAACACAUGCAAGUCGAGCGCGAAAGCACUUCGGUGUGAGUAGAGCGGCGGACGGGUGAGUAAUGCUUGGGAAUCUGCCCAGUAGUGGGGGAUAACGUGUGGAAACGCACGCUAAUACCGCAUACGUCCUACGGGAGAAAGCAGGGGAUCUUCGGACCUUGCGCUAUUGGAUGAGCCCAAGUCGGAUUAGCUAGUUGGUGGGGUAAUGGCCUACCAAGGCGACGAUCCGUAGCUGGUCUGAGAGGAUGAUCAGCCACACUGGGACUGAGACACGGCCCAGACUCCUACGGGAGGCAGCAGUGGGGAAUAUUGCACAAUGGGCGAAAGCCUGAUGCAGCCAUGCCGCGUGUGUGAAGAAGGCUCUAGGGUUGUAAAGCACUUUCAGUAGGGAGGAAAUGUUGUUGAUUAAUACUCAACAAUCUUGACGUUACCUACAGAAGAAGCACCGGCAAACUCCGUGCCAGCAGCCGCGGUAAUACGGAGGGUGCGAGCGUUAAUCGGAAUUACUGGGCGUAAAGCGCGCGUAGGUGGUUUGAUAAGCUAGCUGUGAAAGCCCCGGGCUUAACCUGGGAACUGCAGUUAGAACUGUCUGACUAGAGUACAGUAGAGGGUGGCGGAAUUUCCUGUGUAGCGGUGAAAUGCGUAGAUAUAGGAAGGAACAUCAGUGGCGAAGGCGGCCACCUGGACUGAUACUGACACUGA